rnacentral:rRNA from 1 species
CAGCAGCCGCGGUAAUACGUAGGGGGCAAGCGUUAUCCGGAUUUACUGGGUGUAAAGGGAGCGCAGGCGGUCUGGCAAGUUGAGAGUGGAAGCAGGGGGCUCAACCCCCUGACUGCUCCCAAAACUGUUGGACUGGAGUAUGGGAGAGGCAGGCGGAAUUCCUAGUGUAGCGGUGAAAUGCUCAGAUAUUAGGAAGAACACCGGUGGCGAAGGCGGCCUGCUGGACCAAAACUGACGCUGAGGCUCGAGAGCGUGGGGAGCGAACAGGAUUAGAUACCCGCGUAGUCCCUGUCUCUUAUAC